AACGCGAAGAACCUUACCUGGGUUUGACAUCCUCGGACAGCUGUAGAGAUACAGUCUUCAUAGCAAUAUGACCGAGAGACAGGUGCUGCAUGGCUGUCGUCAGCUCGUGGGGUGACCUGUUGGGUUAAGUCCCGCAACGAGCGCAACCCCUGUCCUUAGUUGCCAGCAUUCAGUUGGGCUCUCUAGGGAGACUGCCGUGGUUAACACGGAGGAAGGUGGGGAUGACGUCAAGUCCUCAUGGCCUUUAUAUCCAGGGCGACACACGUGAUACAAUGGACGGUACAAAGGGAUGCCAAGUGGUAACACGGAGCUAAUCUCAAAAAGCCGUUCUCAGUUCGGAUUGGAGUCUGCAACUCGACUCCAUGAAGUUGGAAUCGCUAGUAAUCGCGGAUCAGCACGCCGCGGUGAAUACGUUCCCGGGCCUUGUACACACCGAUACUC
rnacentral:rRNA from 1 species